rnacentral:rRNA from 1 species
AAGUCGAACGAAGCUUGAUUUCUGAUUUUUUCGGAAUGACGAAUGAUAUGACUGAGUGGCGGACGGGUGAGUAACGCGUGAGCAACCUGCCCUUCGGAACGGGAUAGUGUCUGGAAACGGACAGUAAUACCGUAUAACAUAUAUUGAUCGCAUGGUCGAUAUAUCAAAACUGAGGUGCCGAAGGAUGGGCUCGCGUCUGAUUAGAUAGUUGGUGGGGUAACGGCCUACCAAGUCGACGAUCAGUAGCCGGACUGAGAGGUUGAACGGCCACAUUGGGACUGAGACACGGCCCAGACUCCUACGGGAGGCAGCAGUGGGGAAUAUUGCACAAUGGGGGAAACCCUGAUGUAGCAACGCCGCGUGAAGGAAGACGGUUUUCGGAUUGUAAACUUCUGUUCUUAGUGAAGAAUAAUGACGGUAGCUAAGGAGCAAGCCACGGCUAACUACGUGCCAGCAGCCGCGGUAAUACGUAGGUGGCAAGCGUUGUCCGGAAUUACUGGGUGUAAAGGGAGCGUAGGCGGGAUGCCAAGUCAGCUGUGAAAACUAUGGGCUUAACUUGUAGACUGCAGUUGAAACUGGUAUUCUUGAGUGAAGUAGAGGUUGGCGGAAUUCCGAGUGUAGCGGUGAAAUGCGUAGAUAUUCGGAGGAACACCGGUGGCGAAGGCGGCCAACUGGGCUUUAACUGACGCUGAGGCUCGAAAUGUGGAGAGCAAACAGG